ACAGAGGGUGCAAGCGUUAAUCGGAAUUACUGGGCGUAAAGCGCACGUAGGUGGCUUGGUAAGUUGGAUGUGAAAUCCCCGGGCUUAACUUGGGAAUUGCAUUCAAGACUGCCUUGCUAGAGUGUGGAAGAGGGAAGCGGAAUUCCAGGUGUAGCGGUGAAAUGCGUAGAUAUCUGGAGGAACAUCGGUGGCGAAGGCGGCAUCCUGGACCAACACUGACGCUGAGGAGCGAAAGCCAGGGGAGCAAACGGGA
rnacentral:rRNA from 1 species